rnacentral:rRNA from 1 species
AUUGAACGCUGGCGGCAGGCCUAACACAUGCAAGUCGAGCGAGCGGCGGACGGGUGAGUAAUGUAUGGGGACCUGCCCGAAAGAGGGGGAUAACUACUGGAAACGGUGGCUAAUACCGCAUACUAUCGGAUGCACCCAGAGGGGAUUAGCUAGUAGGUGGGGUAAAGGCUCACCAAGGCAACAAUCUCUAGCUGGUCUGAGAGGAUGAUCAGCCAUACUGGGACGGAGACACGGCCCAGACUCCUACGGGAGGCAGCGGUGGGGAAUAUUGCACAAUGGGCGCAAGCCUGAUGCAGCCAUGCCGCGUGUAUGAAGAAGGCCUUAGGGUUGUAAAGUACUUUCAGCGGGGAGGCGUUACCCGCAGAAGAAGCACCGGCUAACUCCGUGCCAGCAGCCGCGGUAAUAC